ensembl:lncRNA novel transcript
AAGAGGUGCCAUGCACUCCAGGAGAAGAGCUGACUGGAUCCUAUACUCAAAGAAUGGGCCACGGAUCCCUACCUGUCCACUGUUUGUUACUGGGCUGGGAAGCUGCAAGACCCGAUGCUGGGGAGCCCACCAUGAAAUCUGUCCCAAAUCAUGGAACCCCGAGGUGAAAGGCCCCCAGGCAUGCCAACACAUGGCAGACAAAUCCAGUUGUGUCCAGGGAUGGCGUUCCCUCCAGUUUUCUGAAAGACGCUCCCAUAUUCCUUAAGCACAGGGAUCUACUAAAGGAUGUGCUCCUUAAAAAUGAGGGAGUAAGCCGAGAAAGAGGAAGAUGUGGGCUCUAGAAAAUGGAAUCCAAUGCAGCAAAAGGUAAAGGGGAUUUUUAGAAUCACGACCAAGAGAACUCUGAGGUCAACAGCUGUGCAGCAGGCCUAGAGAAUGAUCUGUGAAGAUGGGUACAGGAGGAGGAGGGACUCUAGGUGGGAGGGCUCUAUCAUGUGGUGGUACUGGUGUCAGCCCAUUGGAGCCAAUUGUUAAAUAUUUGGGAAUGUUGUAAGCCAGUUUUUAAACACAGUCAUUAUUUAAAAAGUAAAUUAUAAAAGGCUUAAUCAUAUUAGAAAUAAAGAUGAUAAAUAUUCCAAAUUCA